AGGCCACUGCUAUCGGAGUCCGACUAAGCCGUGCGAGUCUUGGUAGGCUUUGCCUACCGGCGGACGGCUCAGUAACACGUGGACAACCUACCCUCGGGAGGGGGAUAACCCCGGGAAACUGGGAAUAAACCCCCAUAGGCCAUGGAGGCUGGAAAGCACCAUGACCGAAAUUCCGCAAGGAGCCCGAGGAUGGGUCUGCGGCCUAUCAGGUUGUAGUGGGGGUAACGGCCCCACUAGCCUACGACGGGUACGGGCCCUGAGAGGGGAAGCCCGGAGAUGGACUCUGAGACACGAGUCCAGGCCCUACGGGGCGCAGCAGGCGCGAAAACUCCGCAAUGCUCGAAAGAGCGACGGGGGGACUCCGAGUGCCUACGCUUUGCGUAGGCUUUUCCUGAGCCUAAAAAGCUCAGGGAAUAAGGGCUGGGUAAGACGGGUGCCAGCCGCCGCGGUAAUACCCGCAGCUCGAGUGGUGGCCGCUUUUAUUGGGCCUAAAGCGUCCGUAGCCGGUCUGGUAAAUGCCCGGGUAAAUCGUCUGGCUCAACCAGACGGCUCCCAGGUAGACUGCCAGACUUGGGACCGGAGGAGGGAGAGGGUACUCCAGGGGUAGGGGUGAAAAUUCCUUUCCGUUAACGCUUUGUGCCAAGCGGAAAGGGUUAUCACAAUCCUGUAAUCCCUGGAGGACCACCGGUGGCGAAGGCGCUCUCCUAGGACGGGUCCGACGGUGAGGGACGAAAGCCAGGGGAGCAAACCGGAUUAGAUACCCGGGUAGUCCUGGCUGUAAACGAUGUGGACUUGGUAUUGGGAUGGCUACGAGCUGUCCCAGUGUCGUAGGGAAGCCGUUAAGUCCACCGCCUGGGGAGUACGGUCGCAAGGCUGAAACUUAAAGGAAUUGGCGGGGGAGCACUGCAACGGGAGGAGCGUGCGGUUUAAUUGGAUUCAACGCCGGAAAGCUUACCAGGGGAGACUGCCGUAUGGGGGCCAGGCUGAAGACCUUGCCCGAAUAAUAGGCAGAGAGGUGGUGCAUGGCCGUCGUCAGCUCGUACCGUAAGGCGUUCUGUUAAGUCAGGUAACGAGCGAGACCCCCGCCCUUAGUUGCCACCUGUCCCUCCGGGGACAGAGCACACUAAGGGGACCGCUGGCGAUAAGCCAGAGGAAGGAGGGGGCAACGGUAGGUCAGUAUGCCCUGAAUCCCCUGGGCUACACGCGCGCUACAAAGGCUGGGACAAUGGGUUGCGACCCCGAAAGGGGGAGCUAAUCCCUAAACCCAGUCGUAGUUCGGAUCGAGGGUUGAAACUCACCCUCGUGAAGGUGGAUUCCGUAGUAAUCGCGGGUCAACAUCCCGCGGUGAAUAUGCCCCUGCUCCU
rnacentral:rRNA from 1 species